rnacentral:rRNA from 1 species
UACGGGGGGGGUAAGCGUUGUUCGGAAUUACUGGGCGUAAAGGGCUCGUAGGCGGCCAACUAAGUCAGACGUGAAAUCCCUCAGCUUAACUGGGGAACUGCGUCUGAUACUGGAUGGCUUGGAUUUGGGAGAGGGAUGCGGAAUUCCAGGUGUAGCGGUGAAAUGCGUAGAUAUCUGGAGGAACACCGGUGCGAGGACGGCGAUCCUGGACCAAUAUUGACGCUGAGGAGCGAAAGCCAGGGGAGCAAACGGG